rnacentral:rRNA from 1 species
ACGAUGAGUGCUAGGUGUUGGGUAGCGAUAUUCAGUGCCGAAGUAAACACAAUAAGCACUCCGCCUGGGGAGUACGGUCGCAAGACUGAAACUCAAAGGAAUUGACGGGGACCCGCACAAGCAGCGGAGCAUGUGGUUUAAUUCGAAGCAACGCGAAGAACCUUACCAAGGCUUGACAUCCCCUUGACCGGUACAGAGAUGUGCCCUCUCCUUCGGGAGCAAGGGUGACAGGUGGUGCAUGGUUGUCGUCAGCUCGUGUCGUGAGAUGUUGGGUUAAGUCCCGCAACGAGCGCAACCCUUAUCCUUAGUUGCCAGCAGGUAAAGCUGGGCACUCUAAGGAGACUGCCGAUGAUAAAUCGGAGGAAGGUGGGGAUGACGUCAAAUCAUCAUGCCCCUUAUGUCUUGGGCUACACACGUGCUACAAUGGUCGGUACAAAGGGCAGCGAAGGAGUGAUCUGGAGCGAAUCCCAAUAAACCGAUCCCAGUUCGGAUUGUAGGCUGCAACUCGCCUACAUGAAGUCGGAGUUGCUAGUAAUCGCGAAUCAGAACGUCGCGGUGAAUGCGUUCCCGGGUCUUGUACACACCGCCCGUCACACCAUGGAAGUUGGUAAUACCCAAAGUCGCUGAGCUAACCGCAAGGAGGCAGGCGCCUAAGGUAGGAUCAAUGACUGGGGUGAAGUCGUAACAAGGUAACCAAUCU